rnacentral:rRNA from 1 species
UACGGAGGGUGCGAGCGUUAUCCGGAAUCACUGGGCGUAAAGGGCGCGUAGGCGGUUUGUUAAGUCUGAUGUUAAAGACUGGGGCUCAACCCCGGCAUGGCGUUGGAUACUGGCAGGCUUGACGGUUGGAGAGGCGAGUGGAAUUGCCAGUGUAGCGGUGAAAUGCGUAGAUACUGGUAGGAACACCUAUUGCGAAGGCAGCUCGCUGGACAAUUCGUGACGCUGAGGCGCGAAAGCGUGGGGAGCAAACAGGAUUAGAUACCCG